rnacentral:piRNA from 1 species
UGGGAUUACAAGUGUGAGCCACCGUGCCUU